rnacentral:misc_RNA from 1 species
GGGCGCGCUGGCAACAAGUUUCCAGAAAUUUUGGCGAAAUAGGAAAGCAAGCCAGAGAAGGGAGGUGAUGUGGCAUUGACCCACAUUUCGACCGUUGGUCUUAGGGAUUUUUUUUGUCCAGCGGGACGCUCCGCUGAAUCGAUUGAGAGCCAUGGACCCAGCCGAACUCUGCUUUCCUAAACGUGCCAAUUUCCUCUUGCCAAUAUUCAAAGGAUAUGGAAACUCCAACAAAUUAUACUAAUUUUAUUUAAUUUAAUUUAAAAACACUCUCUCUAUCACACCCUCUCUUUGUUUCUACACUGCACGAUAGCUAGCAUCAGAUUCAAGCACGCAGAGAGAGGCUCCGUUGUCGUCAGAAACGAAGAUCACUCUGGUAGCUUCCAAUUCGCUCUUCUAUAUAUAUGGUGAUGAAACUUCUUCUAGAUUCAAAUACGGGUUCUCUUUUUCUUCCCUAAUUUGCUGCGGAUUGUUUUUCUUAUCCUUCUCAAUUUUGGUAAACCUUCUUCAGUUCAGGCAGGUGAUUUGGAGUUGUUUUGAAAAUUGAACUUUCCCUCUGUGGUUAAGUGGAUACAAUGACUAUACUAACCCAGCUAUUUUAUCCUGAUUCUCCUGCGGGAGAUGACUAAAUCUGUCCUUUUGCACCCUUUUUGUCUCUACGAAUAAGACAAUAACACCAAGCGGCAAGCGGUAACGUUCGUCGUUGUGUAAUGUGUAGGUUUGCGGCGGAUUUGUAUUCUGUUUUAUGCGGCUUUGUUUUUGGAUUUUGAGCUGUGUUCUUUCGAAAGAGGAGAGUAAUCAAGGGAAGACAUAGAAGAUGGUGGAGAUGAUAAACAAGGAUGCUUCGUACUGGUGGUGGUUUGAGAGUCACCAAAGCUCCAACCGCUCUCCGUGGCUACAAUCCACUCUUUGCGGUGAAAGGCUUUUCUAAUCCAUAUCUCUCUCUCUCUCUUUUUAUUUUCUUUUUAUUUUUUAUAUAUGUGGUUCUCGUUUUCGUUUGGGUUUUCUUGCAUUUCAUUCGCGAAGAGAUGGGAUACUUCUUCUUGAUUCUUGAACCUUUGGAAAUUGGGACUAUGCGUGUGAUUUUAAGAUCCCAAAGUUUUGAAUUGUUUCUUUACUCAACUCUUUUUUUUUUCUUUAAAUAAAAAUAAUCCUUUCUUUUCAGCGAAAUUCUAGCGAGAAUUUGACUUACAUGUGAUUGACUAGUAAAGAAUACCUUUUUGGGGGUAGAAGACUUCUAGCAAAAAUUGGAUUUCAACAUCCAAAAUCGUAGUUUAUGGCUGCACCUUCAUGAACACUUUGAGAAAUUACAGUCGUGAAAAAAAAUUAGGAAUCGAGUAUUAUGCAGAAAGUUUAUUAUUAGGGAGAAAUUCCAAGAUAUUUUCUUUUGGCCCGUUUUUUUUCUUUUCCUUGGUUCCUUUUGUUGGGUAACAACGAAAGAGGAAAAGAACUCUAUUUUCAGAGUUACCAUUUGACUGGCUGAGUAAUUAUCAUUAAUGUUAAGAUCAUUGCAUAAAUUGUGAGAGGAAAAAAAGAGAGCAGAUAUUGAAGGGGUCCACAGACAUUAUACAGUAUGUAAUGAGAAAGGAAAGCAAUGGCAAUUGAGACCGGAAUUAAAUUGACGUGGAGAGCCACAAGUUCAUUACUCUCAAUGGUUAAUAUCUUAUUGCUUGGCACUACUUCUGAGGAUUAUCUAUGGCUAUGAUUUGAUGAUUAUGAGUGAACUUUUAGUGUGAGUUAGAAUGCUGGUACUAUGGCCUAGUGGUCCUUAAGGUGGAGGGCACUGGAAGACACCAACUGUUGUCAUCUUUCUGUAUAAAUUUACUUUUCUGAAUGGGAUCUGAAGAUUCAUUCAUUAUUUUUAAGCUUCUAAAAGCUCUCGUUAUAAUAUACGGGACCCAUUUGUAUUUAGUUAAUUGUAAAGCAACGUUUCUCAAGCAUAAAAAUGUAGACUAUGAGGACUCUGAAAGUUGGUAGUUCACCAUGAACUCUUUUUAAAUUCCUUUAUUCCUUUGCCAGCAUGGACCAUUUUGAUAAAUAAACAAUGCUGCUUUUUCUUUCAUUUUUUUUUAACUUUUUCUUUUUUGCUGAAUCGACCUGGGACGUUGAUAGUUGCAUAAAACUAGAUAAGAAUUUUCUUCGGCAUGAUACUUGAUGUAGUUAUGAGUAAAUUAGUUACUCAUCUGUGCAUUUCACAUUGCAAAAUUCCAAGAUACAAAUGGCAACUUGUGGGAUUUGAUUUGAUCAUGCAUUUUUCACUUUUCCAGAGAUUAUAUCUCUUAUAAUCUAUUGUUCUCUGAAAUUUAUUAAUUUACUGAAUAAUUUGUAACUUUCCAUUUCUGAUUAAAUGAUUGGUUUUUGGCAAUUAAAUUUUAAAAAUUUCAGAGGUAGACAGGAAGACAAAGGCAAUGCUGAAAUUGAUAGAGGAAGAUGCAGAUUCGUUUGCCCAGCGUGCAGAGAUGUAUUAUAAGAAACGGCCUGAGCUCAUUAGCAUGGUUGAAGAUUUUUACAGGACACAUCGAUCAUUAGCUGAGCAAUAUGAUCUACUUAAAUCUGACUCUGGAAAUCGCCUAACAACAAUCAAAUACCAACGGCAGAAGUUAACGGGUGGGAUGAAUAAAAUCUAUGACAGCCAUUCUGAUUCUGAAACGUACUCUGCUGAGUCUGAAGUUGAAGAUCCUGGACAGGAAGAGGAAACUGAAUUUGAAGAAGAAAUGGGAGAAGUUGAGGAGCCUGAACAGAAAAUAGAAACUGGUGAAGUUGAAGUUUCAGGUGCAGUCUGUAAUGAUGAGGUGAUGAAGAUGCAGGAAGAAAUAGAAAUACUCAAAGAAGAGAACAGAAUUCAGAGUGAACAACUUCUGCAGAAAGAUGAAGAGAAGAGAGAGGUUAUAAGGCAACUCAGUUUGGCUAUAGAAGUGCUUAAGCUGGAAAAUGUUCAGCUCACGAAGCAUGUAGCUAAAGGCUCCCCCAAGAAAACGAGCCCUUUUAAGUUGGAGAAGUUGAAGGAGGUAUUUUCAGGGAAGCUUUUCAAUGGCUUUUCAAAAUCUCGUGGGAGUGUACCAGCUCCUUAGGUAAAGGUUGGAGCCAACAAGUAGCUUGUAGAUACAGUUCAUAUCUAGAAAGAGAAUGUAAAUCACAAUUUUAUUUCAGCUCAAACUUAGGAAGUAAACAUACAGUACAGUGUCUGUUGAGGAAGUAAUGUAGGAUUAAAGUUUAGCAUGCCAAAUUUCUAAUUUUUGCCAAUACUACUAGUAUGCAAUAUAAUCAGAGAUAACCUAAUUCAGUGUGCCAUUGUCUCAUUUUGUAUAUCCAAGAUGAGGAGAAAAGAGAAUAAGUGGUUCCAUUCUUCUAUAAAGUUCUCUCUAGUGAAGAUACCGAGUAUUCAUUUUUACAAGGAAUUAGAACCAGCAGCUUACCAGAAAACCGUCAGCCAUUAAUGGAAUCAUAGUUUAGAUGAAGAUCAGUAAUGUGUAAGCUCAACAUGUCUAGUAGAAGCAGAUCCAUAAAUGGUUGCUCAAUCUGUAAGAAUGGAAUAAAAUAAGCAGUGUAUAAAACAGAGAAUUUAUAGUUUUAGCAUGUAGAGUUUUGUUCUGUAAUGUUGAAAACUUUCAGCUGAUUGUUUGUCCUCUCAAGGACACUGAAAUAUAAGAAUUGAGAGUGCUACUUUAUUUAUUAAAUAUUUUUUGUAGACACUGUCCUAUCACAAAGUUACAACCAUGCCACGCACUUCCUUACUUACCAAACAUCACAGUAUGGCACACUAUACACUACAGAAAUAAAUCAACAAAAAAUAAAAGAGGAAGUGGAACCACCAGCAACAAUAAUGGAGCUGCCACCAAGAGUACCUCACAAAGCAGAAAGCUGCACCAAGCAAAACACCAGCAAACCAAGAAAGUAGAGAGCUAGAUUUAGAGUUGCUAAUGAACUCAGAGAAGUAGCAGAAGAAGCUGGUAAAGACCCAGAUGGUGACACAGCAAACACAGGCCCCGGAGCUGGAUCAAUGAGAUCUGGAUUUGGAGGGCUUCGGCUUGAAGGAAUGGUGGGAAGUGAUGACUCAGCUGGAGAAGGUACCCCAGCUCCAGUGGUAGGAAACACAGGCUCAAUGUCUGGUGAUAAAUUUGGAGGAGAGGAUAAGGGAGCUUCAGGCAAGAGUGCAGGAGCUGCUGAUAUAGUAGAGAAUUGUACAUGUACUUGAGAUGUAAAAGCUGGUGAAAUAAAAUAGGCCACGAAAACCAUGAAAGUUGCCAAGAAUGACCAAAAGGAAGCCAUUAAUGAUGAUGAAAUCAAUUCACCUGUUAUGAACUUCAAUAAAUGUGCAGAGAGAGAGAGAGAGAGA